GAUGAAGAACGCAGCGAAAUGCGAUAGGUAAUGUGAAUUGCAGAAUUCAGUGAAUCAUCGAAUCUUUGAACGCACAUUGCGCCCGGUAGUAUUCUGCCGGGCAUGCCUGUUCGAGCGUCAUUUCAACCAUCAAGCCCCAGCGCUUGUGUUGGGGGCCUGCGGCUGCCGCAGCCCCCUAAAAGCAGUGGCGGGCUCGCUAUCACACCGAGUGCAGUAGUUCAUCUUCUCUCCGGUCUUGUGAGGCGGGUUCCGGCCGUGAAACACCCCACUACAUUCAAGGUUGACCUCGGAUCAGGUAGGAAUACCCGCUGAACUUAAGCAUAUCAAUAAGCGGAGGA
rnacentral:misc_RNA from 1 species